UACGUAGGGGGCUAGCGUUGUCCGGAAUCAUUGGGCGUAAAGCGCGCGUAGGCGGCCCGGUAAGUCCGCUGUAAAAGUCAAAGGCUCAACCUUUGAAUGUCAGUGGAUACUGCCGGGCUAGAGUCCGGAAGAGGAGAAUGGAAUUCCCGGUGUAGCGGUGAAAUGCGCAGAUAUCGGGAAGAACACCCGUGGCGAAGGCGGUUCUCUGGGACGGUACUGACGCUGAGACGCGAAAGCGUGGGGAGCGAACAGG
rnacentral:rRNA from 1 species